AUUGAACGCUGGCGGAAUGCUUAACACAUGCAAGUCGAACGGCAGCACGGGUGCCUGCACCUGGUGGCGAGUGGCGAACGGGUGAGUAAAACAUCGGAACGUCCCCAGUCGUGGGGGAUAACGUAGCGAAAGUUACGCUAAUACCGCAUACGUCCUGAGGGACAAAGCGGGGGACCGUAAGGCCUCUCGCGACUGGAGACGCGCACGGCGGAGUAGCUAGUAGGUGGGGUAAAGGCCUACCAAGGCGACGAUCCGUAGCGGGUCUGAGAGGACGGCCCGCCACACUGGAACUGAGACACGGUCCAGACUCCUACGGGAGGCAGCAGUGGGGAAUAUUGGACAAUGGGCGAAAGCCUGAUCCAGCCAUUCCGCGUGAGUGAAGAAGGCCUUCGGGUUGUAAAGCUCUUUCGGCAGGGAAGAAACGGCUUGGGAUAAUACCCCGGGCUAAUGACGGUACCUGAAGAAGAAGCACCGGCUAACUACGUGCCAGCCGCCGCGGUAA
rnacentral:rRNA from 1 species